AGUAACGCGUGGGUAACCUGCCUUGUACAGGGGGAUAACAGUUGGAAACGGCUGCUAAUACCGCAUAAGCGCACAGCAUCGCAUGAUGCAGUGUGAAAAACUCCGGUGGUAUAAGAUGGACCCGCGUUGGAUUAGCUAGUUGGUGAGGUAACGGCCCACCAAGGCGACGAUCCAUAGCUGACCUGAGAGGGUGACCGGCCACAUUGGGACUGAGACACGGCCCAA
rnacentral:rRNA from 1 species